AGUCUGUUACAGUGUUAUGUUAAUAGACAUUAACAUUGCAUUAAUAUCACAUUCUCUUGUGAUUUGCUUUUUCAUCCAACACUGCCUUCAAGAUCGUCCAUUCACUCUUAAUUGCUGCCCUGUUUCACUAUAGGAAUGUACCAACUCGCCGCCGGUUCACUGCAGUCUAAGAGCUCUCUGAACUGUUUCCUGUUGGGCUGGGAAGCACCACCUACAUAUUUCCCUCCAGCUAGAGCAGGAGCAGCUCAAGGGCAGAAACCGUUCUGAGCUGCUUGCUGUUUCUUUUCCUAAUUUCCGUGGCACCUGGGAACUGCCAGCCACGUGAAGCGCUUUGCCUGGAAGAUAUUGCUCUGUUCUCGGCACACAAAACGCCCUCGAUUCAAAAAAAAAAAAAAAAAAAAAAGUGUUCGGUAAAUAAUCUUAGCAAAGUGCGUGUUUAAAUUUGCUAAGCCCUCACUUGUCCACCGAGUAAGAUUUAAGGGGAACCUGCUGCAAUUUCCUCUAGAAAGUCCUGAAGGUAUUUCAGGGCAGAAGUAGAUCUAUAAAACAAGGUCACGCCACAGUUCCGGUUCCUCCUAAGAGGAUCUCCAAGCACUCUAAAAGCGCGGUUUUCGCGACGGUAUUUUCCCCAACUUUUAAAGGAAUCCAGGUCAGUUCAGUGCGUUAUUCAAAACUUGAAAAUGUUUAGGGCGGCUUGGAAGAGCCUUGGUCACAGUCUGCGUAUGCAUAAUACUAGCAAAUUCGCCUUCUCACAGAAUUAUUUUUCCUUUCCGUAGGUCCCAGGUCAUGUUUCCGUACCUACCAUUUAACUUCCCACCUCAAGCAGGUCCAGCGCCACUGGUCGUACUGCUAGCCGCACUUCCCAACCUUCCUGCUCCUAAGAAGAUAUAACACCCUUUGAUCUCCUCUCCAGUGCUUUGUGGCUUAAGGAACCUUGAUGUGCAAGACAAAUAUGCUCUGUAACUGUGCGCACGCGGAACCAUCUAUCAUCACCCUGCCUUUAAACAUGACCGGUACUUUGUGUGUUUCAGAGAAAUUAAUCUGCUGUUUAGUGGAAGAAAACCAAGGCAAAACCAUCUUCCUGCAUGCACCGUCUUCUUGCAGACUCAACAGCAUUUUCAGUGUCUCGGGCUCCCGCUCCGUAAACCACAAACUUGACCUUCGAGCGGAUUUCAAAAGCAGAGGUUUCCUCCCUCUCCCUCUCUGGCUCCUAUGGAGCGCCUGGGCAUACUUGUGGGUAGCAGCUGCAUGUACCAGAGCUGGGAACUAUACGUCGAGGAGACUUGGAGAUACUAGUGGGCGGCAGGGUGGGGGCUGGGGAGCGAGGCAAAGAUGGGCGGGAGGAGAGGGAGAGAGGAUGGGGUGGAGGGGGAGGAUAGAUCUGUCUGCAUAUGCAUGAAGCACCCAGCACUGCCCUCUUCCCAAGCAGCUGCUGUGUGGGAGGCGGAGGAGGAAGGGGGAAGGGAAGGACUAAGAUGGGCGGGGCGGCAGAAACUGCCUUUAAACUGGACCUCGGUUUGGAGGGCGAAAGAGGUGAUUUGCAUGGCGUCCGGUGAUUGGCUGAGGUCCGAGGGCUGGGUCUGAGAGGCGGCCUCUGAAUGGUUUAAGGAGAAAAUCUCUGAAUUCUGAUUUCUAAAGUCGGGACCGCCGGGUAGAUGCAGUAUGCAAUCAGGACGCAAGGAGGCGCGAUGUCCUAUCUUUGUUCUGCUUAAAAGGUCUUUUUCCGUCCUCCUUCAGCCGUCCCCGCCCCCACCCCCACGCGCAGACUCACGCAGAAAGUGCAGAGAAACCCUGUGAUCCAGUCAACUGGCACUGCCCCGUCUAUUAAGAAAGAUGAACGCUCCUUUCUCUUCCAUCUCCUUCAUGGGAGACCACUUUUCAUUUCAGAUUAUCACAUCAAUAAAUAUUCUUCGAGGAACAAAAAAGGCACUUUGCCAAAAGAUAAAAGAAUAUAUGUGAAAUGUGUGGACUGUAGAGAAAGGCACUACACGAAGGCAAAAGAAUAGAAGCACAUAUGUAAAUAACGCACAUAAUCACAUCAAGAACACAAAACACAAGGGCAGAUACAGACAGGGCACCCGGAGAGAACGUGGGCUGCUCCCAAGGUCCUCAGAGUCUGCAUGCUUCCCACACGCAGAGGCACACACCCGCUGAUGAGCCAAUGAUCUUCCCCAACACACAAGCACACACACAUAACACACACCUCAGAAAAGGCAUUCACGCGAAUUCACACGCAGUGAAAAUUUUGCAGAGGAAAUACUAGAGCAGAAUUAAAUGGUUUAUCCCCUCCCCCUCCAAAAUAUACUCAAGCAAAAUGAUUCUACUUGCAUAUUACUAAUACACGCAGGGCACUGAAAGGAGGAAAAUGGCUCCAGUUGGGGCACACAGUGGAGAAUACGUGUGUACAAUGCAUACACAGACACACGCGCGCGCGAGCAUCUGUGGGCGGGACACACCCACAGCCUGUGUCCUCUGCCCAUGGGCACAGGCAGAGGACAGAUUCCAUCAGCAGCGCUCAGUACAAUUGUCGGAAGAAGAAACCCACCCUAUUCGGCAACUAUGAAACAUGUCAGAGUGCCAAGGGUUUCUAAGACCCAGAUCAAUACAUUCUUGUUACAAAAGUGGUCAAAAAAAUAAUUGAUGCAUCUUAGAUAAUUGAGUGCUGUAGCAUAUUCGCUCAAACAAUACUUCGAAAUGACUUCAGCCUGAAGAUAGCUUUCUAAACUGAAAAAAAAAAAAAAAUCCCUAAGAAAUUAGAUGUUCAUUUGCUUUCUCUUGUUUUUUUAUUAUUAUUAUUUUUAAAUAAUAGUAUGAAUGCUAGUAGAGACAGCAUUUUUCUCUUCCUCCAAAAGAGGGGAACUGAUUUUGUUUUGUGAACCCAGGAGCUUUCCAGUUGGUUUCCCAGUGAAAAAGGUGGCAGGAGGGUCCUCUGCUUACCCUCCCAGCCAGACAGCACCACAAAAGGCAUUAUUACACAUCCCAAAUUGCAAGGGCUGUCUAUAUAUUUACGAAUCUGUUCAAAUAUUUAACCUCUUAACUUGCUAAAUACCCCCUCUUCUUCCUUUCUCCUCUGCGCUCUCCCUCUCCCCCCUGUCUGUCUUCUCUCCAGUCCUUUCUUUUUUCUCUUUCUCUUUCUAAAAAGGAAAGGCAUAGAAAGCCCCUUUCUGGAGUUCUUGGAGUGACUGUCACAGUCUCCACCUGACACUGUUUUACUAACGAUUUCCUGUCCUAACAACUGUGGGAGCCUUUUUGUUUGUUUGUUUUUUGCAGUCCCAAAGACCGAGUUUGAACCCUCAGUUACAUUUCUUAAGUAGAAGCGUUGAGGUUGUCCGCACCCCGCCCCCUCAGCGCAGCUUUUUAACAACUCCUAGGGAAAGCUUUGCCUACAUCCGAGGGAGCUUACUGACACUCUACAAAUCUCCUGAUUCCCGACCCUCUCGAUCCCCACACUCUUCAUUCGGGAUAAACGCUUCUUUGGGCCACCUCUUUCCUGUCAAGGGACGAGUAGAGGGACGAGUGCACAGGAAGAGAUCUUCCAAAGACAGCCUGAAAUUUUCGUUAGUGUGGGGUGAACAGGAGCGAGGCGCACGUCUGAUGCUGGGACCGUCUGGGACCACCACCACAGAGAAUCUCAGCCUAAAUCUUCUUUUACGGGUCAAAUAACGCAUUCUAAGGGGCAGAGCAAACUGCGAAGGUAUCUGGUGGUGGGCCUUUAUGCAGGAACAUAAGCUUUCGCAAACAUCGAGGUUUCCUUAUGUUGAUGGGUACAGUGUGGGUACAGCGUGGGUAGAGCGUGCGCACAACAGACUGUGGAACUGACCCCUCACCUCCCAGGCCGCUGCCCAGCCCAGCUCCGCAGGCGGCAGCCCAGGAGAGGGUUCCCAUCGAUGGAUCAAUCCACAGAUCCAUUCCCCCAAAGUGCUCUUGCCUCACCUAGGACUUUCUCCCGUGACACCAUUUAAAGUAGCCUGAAAGUGCUUCUCCAUGCCUUUGAGGGAGAGGGAGUCUCAAAGAAUGUCGGGAAAAGUAAAAUAAAAUAACAGUGCCGAAAGGAGAUUGACUCUCAGCGAAUUUCCUCUGGCCUAAAAAAAAAAAAAAGAGAGAAAAGAAAAAGAAAAAAGAAAAGAAAAAGAAUAACUUUAUUUAUAAUCCGCUGCCAGCCUUAUUUCAGAGAAGAUGAAACAAUGAAGGUGCAGUUUGGCCAGACAGUAAGAUGAGUUUUCAUUUGCCCUUUGUUCAAUGGUAGGUACAUACCAGUUUCAAAGAACUUCGGGGAUCCCUCAGCCUGCAAGGUAAUCCAGCUCCUAGCCCGCAUAAGCAUCUUACAGACAAACAGCCCUCAGCCCUGACACUUGCCCUCAGCCAAACUCAAGUUAGGAUCACACCUGUCAGUGGUCCAAGAAACUCUCGCCCCCAGAACACCCCAGCAGCUGGACUAACUUAGUGAAAAGCUAAGCUCCCCUCAGUAUGGCAAUGAACUUUGCUCGCUGCUGUCGGGAGCUAGCACGCCCGCAUCAACAGCUCUCAGGGCCCCGCCAAAGCCUUGAGCAAAAGGAUAACAUACAUAUUUUUAAGUGGCUUACAAAUAAAAAGAAACUAAAAAGAAAAAAAAAACCCAACAACAAAAAUAAAAACAUUUAUGCUUGCUGAAGAGGAUGAAAAGCUGUUUGAAAACCAACCAGAACACAAGUAUGUUCCCUUUGUGUGCUACAUUAGAGGUGGAAGCACACUAGUACUGCAUACCGUAGGCACACCCUCUAAAAUGUGUGGGUUCGCAGGACUGUAUGAUUGUCCACCUACUGCUCAAGCCCAGAAGAAAACUGCUACGGUUACUGUUGUUCUAGUUUCUUAUCAGAAAAGAUAUUCAUUUGAACACAUUAUCUAAAUCUGCGUAAGAAUGAAGGCUGCUUGUCAUGCGUCCUUCGUUUUCAGUAAUGUGUGCCACCCAAUUAGAAGCAAUUUAGGCAAUCAAGACCGUAGGAGAGAAGAAGGUGUUAAAAAUAGGUUUUCUAAAGCCUCAGAACUC
rnacentral:lncRNA from 1 species